GACGAACGCUGGCGGCGCGCUUAACACAUGCAAGUCGAGCGAGAACCUGGACUUCGGUCCAGGGGAAAGCGGCGAACGGGUGAGUAACACGUGAGUAAUCCACCCUCGGUACCGGGAUAGCCCGGGGAAACCCGGAUUAAUACCGGAUGGCCCAACAGCUCUUCGGAGCGGUUGGAAAAGGUAGCUUCGGCCUCCGACCGAGGACGAGCUCGCGGCGGAUUAGCUUGUUGGCGGGGUAAUGGCCCACCAAGGCGACGAUCCGUAGCUGGUCUGAGAGGACGAUCAGCCACACUGGGACCGAGACACGGCCCAGACUCCUACGGGAGGCAGCAGUGGGGAAUUUUGGACAAUGGGCGCAAGCCUGAUCCAGCAAUGCCGCGUGAGUGAAGAAGGCC
rnacentral:rRNA from 1 species